AUGCAAAGCGAGCGCUCUACCAUUUGAGCUACAUCCCCUCUUGAAAUUUGUUGGCGUGG
rnacentral:sRNA from 1 species